GACGAACGCUGGCGGCGUGCUUAACACAUGCAAGUCGAACGGAAAGGCCCUGCUUUUGUGGGGUGCUCGAGUGGCGAACGGGUGAGUAACACGUGAGUAACCUGCCCUUGACUUUCGGAUAACUUCAGGAAACUGGGGCUAAUACCGGAUAGGAGCUCCUGCUGCAUGGUGGGGGUUGGAAAGUUUCGGCGGUUGGGGCUGGACGCGCGGCUUAUCAGCUUGUUGGUGGGGUAGUGGCUUACCAAGGCUUUGACGGGUAGCCGGCCUGAGAGGGUGACCGGCCACAUUGGGACUGAGAUACGGCCCAGACUCCUACGGGAGGCAGCAGUGGGGAAUAUUGCACAAUGGGCGGAAGCCUGAUGCAGCAACGCCGCGUGCGGGAUGACGGCCUUCGGGUUGUAAACCGCUUUCGCCUGUGACGAAGCGUGAGUGACGGUAAUGGGUAAAGAAGCACCGGCUAACUACGUG
rnacentral:rRNA from 1 species